rnacentral:rRNA from 1 species
AGUGAACGCUGGCGGUAGGCCUAACACAUGCAAGUCGAACGGCAGCACAGUAAGAGCUUGCUCUUACGGGUGGCGAGUGGCGGACGGGUGAGGAAUACAUCGGAAUCUACUUUUUCGUGGGGGAUAACGUAGGGAAACUUACGCUAAUACCGCAUACGACCUACGGGUGAAAGCAGGGGAUCUUCGGACCUUGCGCGAUUGAAUGAGCCGAUGUCGGAUUAGCUAGUUGGCGGGGUAAAGGCCCACCAAGGCGACGAUCCGUAGCUGGUCUGAGAGGCUGAUCAGCCACACUGGAACUGGGACACGGUCCAGACUCCUACGGGAGGCAGCAGUGGGGAAUAUUGGACAAUGGGCGCAAGCCUGAUCCAGCCAUACCGCGUGGGUGAAGAAGGCCUUCGGGUUGUAAAGCCCUUUUGUUGGGAAAGAAAAGCAGCAGGUUAAUACCCCGCUGUUCUGACGGUACCCAAAGAAUAAGCACCGGCUAACUUCGUG